rnacentral:rRNA from 1 species
GAUGAACGCUGGCGGCGUGCCUAAUACAUGCAAGUCGAGCGAAUGGAUUAAGAGCUUGCUCUUAUGAAGUUAGCGGCGGACGGGUGAGUAACACGUGGGUAACCUGCCCAUAAGACUGGGAUAACUCCGGGAAACCGGGGCUAAUACCGGAUAACAUUUUGAACCGCAUGGUUCGAAAUUGAAAGGCGGCUUCGGCUGUCACUUAUGGAUGGACCCGCGUCGCAUUAGCUAGUUGGUGAGGUAACGGCUCACCAAGGAAACGAUGCGUAGCCGACCUGGGAGGGUGAUCGGCCACACUGGGAUUGAGACACGGCCCAGACUCCUACGGGAGGCAGCAGUAGGGAAUCUUCCGCAAUGGACGAAAGUCUGACGGAGCAACGCCGCGUGAGUGAUGAAGGCUUUCGGGUCGUAAAACUCUGUUGUUAGGGAAGAACAAGUGCUAGUUGAAUAAGCUGGCACCUUGACGGUACCUAACCAGAAAGCCACGGCUAACUACGUGCCAGCCGCCGCAGUAA